GUGGGGAAUCUUCCGCAAUGGACGAAAGUCUGACGGAGCGACGCCGCGUGAGUGAAGAAGGCCUUCGGGUCGUAAAGCUCUGUCAUCAGGGACGAACGGCCGGUGGAGUGGAAAGCCACCGGAUUGACGGUACCUGAGAAGGAAGCCACGGCUAACUACGUGCCAGCAGCCGCGGUAAUACGUAGGUGGCAAGCGUUGUCCGGAAUUAUUGGGCGUAAAGCGCGCGCAGGUGGGAUCUUAAGUCCAUUUUGAAAGUUCGGAGCUCAACUCCGUGAUGGGAUGGAAACUGGGAUUCUUGAGUACCGGAGAGGAAAGCGGAAUUCCCCGUGUAGCGGUGAAAUGCGUAGAUAUGGGGAGGAACACCAGUGGCGAAGGCGGCUUUCUGGACGGUGUCUGACACUGAGGCGCGAAAGCGUGGGGAGCAAACAGGAUUAGAUACCCCGGUAGUCC
rnacentral:rRNA from 1 species